GCUGACACGUCCCGGCCAAUCUCCAGCAGACCCUCCCUCCCAGACCCUCCUACUUCCUGGACAGCAUCCAUGUUUUGAAAACAUGGAUGCUGUCCAGGAAGUAGGAGGGUCUGGGAGGGAGGGUCUGCUGGAGAUUGGCCGGGACGUGUCAG